CCGCGCGCUCCGCCGUCCUGAGUUCGAGCCGCACCGACACCGCGCGUGCUCAUUUGCGUCCGCGAGAAGCGUCUAUUUUAACGUAUUUCUGGAACGUGCAUUUGUGUCCUGGAUGAACCAUGAAGCCCAGCGGAGAACAUGCAGAGGGCUGAGUCCCUGACACUGGACCUCAGACCCGGAACAGACGCCCACACCGGGAUUAUUCCUCCCCGCCGACGGACGCUACUUUGGAUUACUUUAUUCCAGUUUGUGCGGGCUACAUCGUCCUGCGUCCAACACUUUGCUGUGGGCUUUUUGCCUGGGUGAUAAACCCCGUCACAGUGACUGCGGGUCCACGCACUUGUGUGCGCUUUGUGCCGCGACAGGGACCCGGUGACAGACCAGCCUGACACUCUUUGCUAUUAUUGCUUUGGCUUCUCAGAAUCAACAACCACAAUGACCGGGAUGUAUCGCAUCUGAACCGGUGACUUGGGUCGUAUAGCAGUAUAUCCACGGAGCGGACACCCCGCGCCACCCCCGCCUGGACCCGCACAGGAGCCGAGUCAUGUGCACUACUGCAGGCUUGAUGUUGCUGCUGCUGCCGGUGUGCUGUCUGCUCUCCGGAGCUUCCCAUGCGGCCACUCUCAGCGGACCAGCAGACAAUAUUCUAGGUCCGGACAGGUUUGGCGGUGUGUCCAACUUCAGCACUUUUCUUCUGGACCGCAGCACAGGUGUCCUCCUCAUUGGAGCCAGAGAUGCCAUCCUGUCAGUGGACACCAACAAACUCAACAGCCCACCCAGAAAGAUCAUUUGGAGUGUACCUGAAGAGAAGAGGCGGUCAUGUGUUGCAAAGGGUAAAACCAAGGUGGACUGUAACAACUACAUCCGCCUGCUGGAGUUUCUCGGUGAUGGACGGGUGUACGUGUGUGGAACUUACGCCUUCGAUCCACAGUGUGCCUUUCUUGACCUCUCCUCCUUCAGUUUGGAGAAAACAGAUGAAGGAGGCGUGAACAUGGAGACUGGGAAGGGGAAGUGUCCUUUCGAGCCAAGUCAGCAUUAUACUGCGGUGAUGGCAGGUGGAACCUUGUACACAGCAGCCACAAGCAACUUUCUGGGAACUCACUUUGACAUCUCUCGGGCGACUGGUCCGGAGCAGGAGCGCAUCCGUACGGAGCAGUCCAUCAACUGGCUUAGUGAUCCAGAGUUUGUGAGCUCGGCCUUCAUCCAGCAGUCACCGGACAACAACCCGACGGGUGACGACGACAAGAUCUACUUUUUCUUCACUGAAGUGGCAAAAGAAUACGACUUGUUUACCAAAGUCAAGGUUCCCAGGGUGGCCCGGGUCUGCAGGUCGGAUGUGGGUGGGAUGAAGACUCUGCAGCGUCGCUGGACCACCUUCCUGAAGGCUCAGCUGGUGUGUGAGGACAAGCCCAGUGGCCAGCGGUACAACAUCCUGACCGACGUCUUCACCAUGCAGCUGACACCAGGGGACCCCGACAGCACACACUUCUACGGACUCUUCACAUCUCAAUGGGAACGCGAAGAGUUGUCGGCAGUGUGUGUCUUCAGUCUCUCAGACAUCAGUAAAGUGAUGGACGGCCCCUUUAAGGAGCUGAAGAAAAACUGCCACAACUGGAUCAACCUUGAACCCGUCCCAACACCGCGACCGGGCCAGUGUCUGAACAACGCUAGGAGGGCAGAGGGCUUUGAGUCCUCCCUGAAGCUCCCUGAUAAAGUGCUGACCUUCGUGAGGGACCACCCUCUGAUGGAAACCAGUGUGACAGCAGCGCCCCUUCUGGUGCGAAAGGGAAUCACAUAUACAAAGUUGGCUGUGACACAGGGAAGUGGCAGUGAGGAGCGGAGGGGGGCGGUGCUUCAUCUCGGGACUGAUCGUGGUGAGCUCCACCGGGUGGCAGUAGUGGGUCAAAACGCCACUCUCCUUCAGGAAAUUCCUCUGUUCUCAUCCCAGGAGCCAGUAAACAACAUUCUGCUGUAUCAGGAUGGCGCUGUAGUUGGAAGUCCUCAGUCGCUGGCCCACGUUCAGGCUGUGGGUUGUGAAAUGUUCACCUCCUGCAAGGUGUGCGCUCAGGCACGGGGACUGGGGUGUGUGUGGAGCUCGAAGACAGGCUGCACCACCACAGAGCUGGAUCCAGGUCCGGGUGACGUGGUCGAUAAAGCUCUUCGAGAGUGUGAUAAGGACGAAGGUCGCUGCUCUCCACCAAUCAGAGAGCUGCGUGCCACACUAGGGCUCCGCUUGCUGCUUCGCUGCGUGCAGCUGACGGCACGGUCCUGCAGCUGGGACCACCCCCCGCACCGCCACACCCGUCAACAUCACUCUGACCUGGAGGUGACGGUCACCCCGGAGACGCUAGGAACGUACACGUGCACCUGCCAGGAAACAACAGCAGGAGUCCGGGACACUUCCCCCUGUCGGAGAGCGGCCUAUCAGCUCACCCUGGAGGACCCACAUUCUGGCGGGGCGGUGGGUGAAGGCAGGGGUCGACACGUCCUGGCCAUCUACAUCCUGUGCUUCCUCAGCGGUGUGUUGUUUGGUGUCCUGGUGCUUUACCUAUUGAAGCGUCAGAGGAGCGUCUCCCGCCAGCUGCCGGACAACUCGCUGUCAUCAGAGAAGGGGCGGGAACUGCUUGGCUCCUCAGCCACACCGCAGUCGCCCAGCAGUGCCAGUUUGCUCUCGGAUGGCUUCCGCUUGAUGGAGAAGCGGAACGGAACCGCCACCACCACCACCUCGACAACUUUACUGAGUAGCCAAGGGAACGGUGGAGGUCACCAUGACAACUCAAGCAACGGAACCCUCUCGUACUCCAGAUCAAAUGGCAGCAAAUACAUGUUAGCAGCCGACACGUUGGAUGGACGGACUAUGGAGCGGGACGGAGGGAGGCCGAAAGGGGGGGGCAGGAAUUCUGGAAGCGGGGGUGAAGUGGACGAGGAGCUGGGGGACGGGCUGUCAGCGGGACUGAAAGGGCUGGAAGAGGAGCUUGCCAAAUACCCUUCCUUCAAAUCGCCGGCCCCACUGGCUCGCUGUGAAGAGAGCUCCAUAUAAAACUUUGGACUUUUGCACAUUGUUCUGAUGACCAAAAAAGUUCAGACGGACAAAGAUAUGAAGUACAUUUAUUUAUGUCUGAGAAGUUCUGGACACUGAUGUACAUAUGCUUAUGUAAAUACAGCGUCUCAAAGAGUCCACAAGUGUGGACGCUAAAAAAAGCCAUAUUGACAUCCUCCUGUAUCCUCUGUUCAACUUUUCUGGGUGUGUGUCCUUUAUGUCACUGGUCAACAAGCAUAGGUCCCUAAGAACACGGCCAUAAAUGGAGUACCCCACCCACUGAAUUCCCAAACAGUUUCACCUAGAAAUUGUCAACAACUUGGGCACACUCACGUUUGCCACUGAUGGACUGUGAAGCCACAGACGCAACAAGGUGGUCAAGCAAAUGUCAAUCACUUUUCUUGAGGACUAAGGAUGCUGGGCAAACGCUGGCAUCUGUAGCAGUGCUGAACUGGACCUGAACGAUCACACAACCAUCAUCACCUUCAAUUCUGAACCCAAAUCAGUUUUGUUGUUUUUAUAAUAAAACUUUGCAAAACAAGACAUGCCUAUCGCUGUUUAUGCGAGUGUUUUAAUAAUGUAGAUGUGAAUAGGAAACAUUUUUUGACUAGUUGAGCUUUGUUAUGAACAGCAGUGAUGCCAAUCCAAAGAUUUUAGAGCAGGGUGUUUAUCAGGCUUUAUUACAAUUACAGUUACAGCUUUAUUACAAACAGAUGUACUUCACAGUCACAUGUAACACAAGCAAAAGACGUUUUUAUUGGUCACAUGACCAACUCCAGUGUAGUCAUAAAUAAAUGAGCUGUGUCAGAAAUAAUGAGAUAAGGAGCGACUGAAUUGUGUCUGCUGUUUCCAGUAGUCCGGUCAUCAACCAGCGUAAUGUUGCUGCCCUUUAUUGAAAUCGUUCGCGAUUGUGAAGACACCAUCAGUUUUUGUGGUGCGUCACACUAGUCAGAGAGCAGAUUCCACUCCAGAGAAGCCCUUCUCUUCGUAUAAACGCAUAAAAUAACGCACUGUACUGUACCACUCCAUCACAGAGAGAGGGGAACUCACGUUCGCGUGUGGAAGUGGGAAUUUGAUGUCGUUUUCCAGCUUUAGUAUUCUCAGCAAUUGAGCAGCGUCUUCCUGGAGGGUCUCCUGGUGGCCCACAAAGUCGUACCUGAGAGAGCAGAGAGGACUUGUGAUAUCUCUGCAAUUGCGUUGUAGUCCCCAGGACCAGGGGAUAAGGAUAAGGAUUUUUUUUGUUCCAAUGACAUAAGCAGACAUAACCAACCAACCAACAGAAGCAGCACCUCAAACAAAUAUCAAAGAAAAAAUCCACAAUAACACUGAGCAAAAAGCAAUUUUAUCUGUCAGUCUCGAGCAGUCUUGAAUAGAAAUCCUGAGUCCGGGUGAAAAUGCAUUUGAGAUCGAGACAAAAAAAAGCAAUGUCGAGUACUACAACACAACACCGCAGCGAGUUGGUAGAAGUCAAGGAUGAGAUGUCAGUUACUCACGGAAUGUGACACGGGUGACAGAGUCGGUGCAUCUGCCUCCAGAGGGGCUGGAACGGCUCAUUCAUCUCGGUUGUGGGGUCCAGCAGGUACUGAAUGAAGUUGUGGAAUGACGGUCUGACUCCAAAAUUCACAGCGUCCUCUAGUGUUUCAGGGGGGUUCAACCACUUCCCGUGGAGGCGCAGGAUUUUCUUUCCAAAGUUUUGGUAAAAGUAACUGUUGGGCCGUUGGAACUUUUCCCAGUACACAGAGAUGAGGCGCAUGAGGGGAUCCCGCACAAACAGGAACUUGGUGUAGUGCUUCAGCUUCACCUGCAACCACCAGACGUGAUCAAGGUCUGUUUUCUCACUCCAUAUUGAUAAAGGUCAUAAAUUCCGACCUUCAUCAGGUCCCUGGGACCGCUGGUAAGCUGCAUGAGCUUAUUAGGCACGUGGAGCAGGUGUCCUGGGAUGGAUGAGGGGUCAGCAUAUGGGAGGCUUUGGUUGAGGACCCACAUGACCCUCUUCCAGCUGGUGCCCGCCACCUGAUGGUGAGAUGUACUUAAAGUUCAUAAAUGUCAAUAUACCCUGGUUUCCUCCCACAGUCCAAAAACAAUGGCGGUUAACUGAACCGGUCCAGAGAGGCUCCAGGCCCUUCUGAUCUAAUACAAGGAACAAGCAGUAGAUGACAAUGAAUCUCCAUUUGAGUCAUUCAUCUUCAACUCCCAAGAGCUGACCUGUGCAAAGUGCAGCCUGUACACCACAUGUGGACACAUUUCCAAGUUUAACUGCACCAACAUUUAAAUAACAAAGUGAGUCUAUAUUUUCUGACGCAGGCUCCAGCCACUCUGGUGGCACCCUGUGAAUGGUCUCCCACCUUGGGAAUGUAACAGUAGAUGAUUCCAUGAUUGUCGUCCACCAGAAGGUGCUUCAGGUCUUCAUUGCUCAUCUGGUCAAUGCUACGUUUCCCCUCAGAUAUAGAUGCCUUUUUUCUGUCGCAGAAAUCCCUAAACAGGGACUUCCUCAGCUCCUGCAUGCCGUCCUCUGACACAAGACAAAAACACAAACCAAUUGAGGAAAUCCACAAACUAAUCGUUCCGUGUGACAACUCUGUCCUUUGCUUCUACCAACACAGCCAAUUGUCACAGUUUGACAAUUGGCUACGUAUUAUUUUGGUAGGAAUUCACAUCUUGUCAACAUAAAAUCAUCUUAUAUCAUAAAUUAUUCUGGAUAAUAUUUCCAUUUCCAUUUAUUUUUGUCCCAUUUUGUUGUGUUUCAAACAUCUGUUCUGGUGUCCACCUGAGCUGAGCUGUUGAGUCUGUUACUCACCUGGUUCUACUGCUGAGCUCCAGUUGAAGGACAGAAACACCAGAACAGUUAUGCAACACAGAAUCACAAACACCAGCUGUUGGCGUGUCACAGUUCUGCCACUGAGUCCCGACAAGGCCAUCUGUGAGUUCACACUGGCAAAAAACAUCAAGAAUGUGAAAUUAUUUUAUGCACACGUCACUUAAAUAUAGGUCUGCUAGCAUUAGAUAUUAUUAAAGAGGCUGACUUGGAACUGCACUAGUUUAAUACAUGAAAAAAUGAUAAAGAGCCACUAUACCAUUGAACUUGAACAAAUAUAACGGUUAUAUUUUAGCUGAGAAUACGACAUAUUAUUUUUUGUGGGAUUGAGAUGCUUCUUUCCACUGGCACAACACAAAAAGCUGUGAGAAGCAAAGUCCAACUGUAAUUUUCUUAACACCUAAUAGAUAAAGAUGAACUGGAGUUGAAGUUAUUUGAAUCACAAUUGACCGCUAAGGGCUAAAAUUGUGAUAGUUAUCGUCAUUACAAAAUGCUUUACAAUGCAAUGCACUGCCCAUUGUCUGAGAGCUGCGUCUUCAUCAGAGGUCAUGGGUCAUCCAGCAGUACAGUGACCAGAAAAGCAAAGCGCUGGAGACUCCUGAAAUAACUGACAAUGAGUCCAGAUCUGAGUUUUCAGCUGAGCCAGACAAAAACAGAAAGGCUGGUCUUUCACGCAGCAGUUUCUCCUGGCUUCCCUGACGGCAGCCUGGCAGCCUGUCCAAAAACACUCCUAUAAAACUCCUAUAACCCAAAAUCUCAUGUCCCAUUUGACUCUUGAGGAUUCAGAACAGUGAACCCUUGCUCUCACACGCGGACUCAGACAAACAUAGUCAUGUGAUGAUCUCUCCCCCACUGGACUACUGCAACUCUCUCAUGCCUCCAGCUGGUUCAGAACUCAGCAGAUAGGCUUCUAACUGGCUCUAACUGACUUUCUGUCCAAUUUGAUUGAUCAAUUUCCCAUCUUCGAUUGGCCCCUGAUUACAUUGCAGAAAAGUUGACCCCCAAUGAGUCAGCCAGGACCCUCUGAUCCUCAGGUGUGUCUCCGCUGCUGUCAAACAUAAUCAUGAAUAUUGUUGUCACCUUGUCACUGUUUGUUGUGUUUUCAAAGACAAAUGGCUACUCUUUAUUUUGGUAGAGAUUCACAUCUUGUCACCAGGACCCUCUGAUCCUCAGGUGUGUCUCUGCUGCUUGAGUCAAGCUUAAAUCUUGGGGCGACAGAGCCUUCUCCUCAGAGUUAACAUGUACUUCCACCUUAAAAUUCAUGGAUAUAGACUUGCAUUUACAGCACAUCAUCUGAACUUCUAGCUUACUUCUGCUUUUGCCAAGACGUUAUCCAACCACCACGUUUACACAAUGCAUGUUCAGACAUUCAAACAUGCAGUAAAUUCUGAGCACGUUCCUGUUGUAUGUCUGUAAAGCAAU